AGCAGUGUGGCUCAGUGGAAAGAGCACGGGCUUGGGAGUCAGAGGUCAUGGGUUCAAAUCCCGACUCUACUU
rnacentral:tRNA from 1 species